rnacentral:lncRNA from 1 species
GCCCAGCCCCUCCUGCCGCUGCGGGACGCCGAAGGUAGCGCUCACAUCCGCGCCUUCCGGGCCUGGCGCCCACGUGCGGAGUCCCCGGGUUAGGAAAGGCCGCGCAUCCGGAGGCCACGCAGAGCCUCGGGGCUUGCGCAGAGGGGCUGCGACAUGCCUUUCGCCCUCCGCCAUGAUUCUGAGGCCUCCCCAACCAUGCGGAACUGUUGGGUUUCAGCCGAGCAAGUCUGAGGCCCCUUUCCCGCGCCCUCUGGUGGAAAGUGUUCGCUUUUCUGUCCACCCAUGUGAAGGAUUCACCCCGACCCUCCUCAGGUGGCCUUUACUUUGCAGGAGCAAAGCAAGGGAAACCUUUCUUCCAUGGCUCAGGACACACUCCUGGAUCGAGCCAACAGGAGAACUUUCUGUGUGGACCGAAGCCUAAGGACCCUGAAAACAGCUGCAGAUGAAGAUGGCAAGCACCCGCUGCAAGCUGGCCAGGUACCUGGAGGACCUGGAGGAUGUGGACUUGAAGAAAUUUAAGAUGCACUUAGAGGACUAUCCUCCCCAGAAGGGCUGCAUCCCCCUCCCGAGGGGUCAGACAGAGAAGGCAGACCAUGUGGAUCUAGCCACGCUAAUGAUCGACUUCAAUGGGGAGGAGAAGGCGUGGGCCAUGGCCGUGUGGAUCUUCGCUGCGAUCAACAGGAGAGACCUUUAUGAGAAAGCAAAAAGAGAUGAGCCGAAGUGGGGUUCAGAUAAUGCACGUGUUUCGAAUCCCACUGUGAUAUGCCAGGAAGACAGCAUUGAAGAGGAGUGGAUGGGUUUACUGGAGUACCUUUCGAGAAUCUCUAUUUGUAAAAUGAAGAAAGAUUACCGUAAGAAGUACAGAAAGUACGUGAGAAGCAGAUUCCAGUGCAUUGAAGACAGGAAUGCCCGUCUGGGUGAGAGUGUGAGCCUCAACAAACGCUACACACGACUGCGUCUCAUCAAGGAGCACCGGAGCCAGCAGGAGAGGGAGCAGGAGCUUCUGGCCAUCGGCAAGACCAAGACGUGUGAGAGCCCCGUGAGUCCCAUUAAGAUGGAGUUGCUGUUUGACCCCGAUGAUGAGCAUUCUGAGCCUGUGCACACCGUGGUGUUCCAGGGGGCGGCAGGGAUUGGGAAAACAAUCCUGGCCAGGAAGAUGAUGUUGGACUGGGCGUCGGGGACACUCUACCAAGACAGGUUUGACUAUCUGUUCUAUAUCCACUGUCGAGAGGUGAGCCUUGUGACACAGAGGAGCCUGGGGGACCUGAUCAUGAGCUGCUGCCCCGACCCAAACCCACCCAUCCACAAGAUCGUGAGAAAACCCUCCAGAAUCCUCUUCCUCAUGGACGGCUUCGAUGAGCUGCAAGGUGCCUUUGACGAGCACAUAGGACCGCUCUGCACUGACUGGCAGAAGGCCGAGCGGGGAGACAUUCUCCUGAGCAGCCUCAUCAGAAAGAAGCUGCUUCCCGAGGCCUCUCUGCUCAUCACCACGAGACCUGUGGCCCUGGAGAAACUGCAGCACUUGCUGGACCAUCCUCGGCAUGUGGAGAUCCUGGGUUUCUCCGAGGCCAAAAGGAAAGAGUACUUCUUCAAGUACUUCUCUGAUGAGGCCCAAGCCAGGGCAGCCUUCAGUCUGAUUCAGGAGAACGAGGUCCUCUUCACCAUGUGCUUCAUCCCCCUGGUCUGCUGGAUCGUGUGCACUGGACUGAAACAGCAGAUGGAGAGUGGCAAGAGCCUUGCCCAGACAUCCAAGACCACCACCGCGGUGUACGUCUUCUUCCUUUCCAGUUUGCUGCAGCCCCGGGGAGGGAGCCAGGAGCACGGCCUCUGCGCCCACCUCUGGGGGCUCUGCUCUUUGGCUGCAGAUGGAAUCUGGAACCAGAAAAUCCUGUUUGAGGAGUCCGACCUCAGGAAUCAUGGACUGCAGAAGGCGGAUGUGUCUGCUUUCCUGAGGAUGAACCUGUUCCAAAAGGAAGUGGACUGCGAGAAGUUCUACAGCUUCAUCCACAUGACUUUCCAGGAGUUCUUUGCCGCCAUGUACUACCUGCUGGAAGAGGAAAAGGAAGGAAGGACGAACGUUCCAGGGAGUCGUUUGAAGCUUCCCAGCCGAGACGUGACAGUCCUUCUGGAAAACUAUGGCAAAUUCGAAAAGGGGUAUUUGAUUUUUGUUGUACGUUUCCUCUUUGGCCUGGUAAACCAGGAGAGGACCUCCUACUUGGAGAAGAAAUUAAGUUGCAAGAUCUCUCAGCAAAUCAGGCUGGAGCUGCUGAAAUGGAUUGAAGUGAAAGCCAAAGCUAAAAAGCUGCAGAUCCAGCCCAGCCAGCUGGAAUUGUUCUACUGUUUGUACGAGAUGCAGGAGGAGGACUUCGUGCAAAGGGCCAUGGACUAUUUCCCCAAGAUUGAGAUCAAUCUCUCCACCAGAAUGGACCACAUGGUUUCUUCCUUUUGCAUUGAGAACUGUCAUCGGGUGGAGUCACUGUCCCUGGGGUUUCUCCAUAACAUGCCCAAGGAGGAAGAGGAGGAGGAAAAGGAAGGCCGACACCUUGAUAUGGUGCAGUGUGUCCUCCCAAGCUCCUCUCAUGCUGCCUGUUCUCAUGGAUUGGUGAACAGCCACCUCACUUCCAGUUUUUGCCGGGGCCUCUUUUCAGUUCUGAGCACCAGCCAGAGUCUAACUGAAUUGGACCUCAGUGACAAUUCUCUGGGGGACCCAGGGAUGAGAGUGUUGUGUGAAACGCUCCAGCAUCCUGGCUGUAACAUUCGGAGAUUGUGGUUGGGGCGCUGUGGCCUCUCGCAUGAGUGCUGCUUCGACAUCUCCUUGGUCCUCAGCAGCAACCAGAAGCUGGUGGAGCUGGACCUGAGUGACAACGCCCUCGGUGACUUCGGAAUCAGACUUCUGUGUGUGGGACUGAAGCACCUGUUGUGCAAUCUGAAGAAGCUCUGGUUGGUGAAUUCUGGCCUUACGUCAGUCUGUUGUUCAGCUUUGUCCUCGGUACUCAGCACUAAUCAGAAUCUCACGCACCUUUACCUGCGAGGCAACACUCUCGGAGACAAGGGGAUCAAACUACUCUGUGAGGGACUCUUGCACCCCGACUGCAAGCUUCAGGUGUUGGAAUUAGACAACUGCAACCUCACGUCACACUGCUGCUGGGAUCUUUCCACACUUCUGACCUCCAGCCAGAGCCUGCGAAAGCUGAGCCUGGGCAACAAUGACCUGGGCGACCUGGGGGUCAUGAUGUUCUGUGAAGUGCUGAAACAGCAGAGCUGCCUCCUGCAGAACCUGGGGUUGUCUGAAAUGUAUUUCAAUUAUGAGACAAAAAGUGCGUUAGAAACACUUCAAGAAGAAAAGCCUGAGCUGACCGUCGUCUUUGAGCCUUCUUGGUAGGAGUGGAAACGGGGCUGCCAGACGCCAGUGUUCUCCGGUCCCUCCAGCUGGGGGCCCUCAGGUGGAGAGAGCUGCGAUCCAUCCAGGCCAAGACCACAG